AGAGUUUGAUCAUGGCUCAGGAUGAACGCCGGCGGUGUGCCUAAUACAUGCAAGUCGAACGCGUUGGCCCAACUGACUGAACGUGCUUGCACGGACUUGACGUUGGUUUACCAGCGAGUGGCGGACGGGUGAGUAACACGUAGGUAACCUGCCCCAAAGCGGGGGAUAACAUUUGGAAACAGAUGCUAAUACCGCAUAACAAUUUGAAUCGCAUGAUUCAAAUUUAAAAGAUGGCUUCGGCUAUCACUUUGGGAUGGACCUGCGGCGCAUUAGCUUGUUGGUAGGGUAACGGCCUACCAAGGCUGUGAUGCGUAGCCGAGUUGAGAGACUGAUCGGCCACAAUGGAACUGAGACACGGUCCAUACUCCCACGGGAGGCAGCAGUAGGGAAUCUUCCACAAUGGGCGCAAGCCUGAUGGAGCAACACCGCGUGAGUGAAGAAGGGUUUCGGCUCGUAAAGCUCUGUUGUUAGAGAAGAACGUGCGUGAGAGCAACUGUUCACGCAGUGACGGUAUCUAACCAGAAAGUCACGGCUAACUACGUGCCAGCAGCCGCGGUAAUACGUAGGUGGCAAGCGUUAUCCGGAUUUAUUGGGCGUAAAGCGAGCGCAGGCGGUUUGAUAAGUCUGAUGUGAAAGCCUUUGGCUUAACCAAAGAAGUGCGUCGGAAACUGUCAGACUUGAGUGCAGAAGAGGACAGUGGAACUCCAUGUGUAGCGGUGGAAUGCGUAGAUAUAUGGAAGAACACCAGUGGCGAAGGCGGCUGCCUGGUCUGCAACUGACGCUGAGGCUCGAAAGCAUGGGUAGCGAACAGGAUUAGAUACCCUGGUAGUCCAUGCCGUAAACGAUGAGUGCUAGGUGUUGGAGGGUUUCCGCCCUUCAGUGCCGCAGCU
rnacentral:rRNA from 1 species